CACAGCAUUCUAAAGCCUUUGAUGUAGAAUUGACUGUCAGGAAAGGUAUUGUCAAUCUUUAUUGACAAUACCUUUCCUGACAGUCAAUUCUACAUCAAAGGCU
rnacentral:miRNA from 1 species